rnacentral:rRNA from 1 species
GUGUCAGCCGCCGCGGUAAUACGGAGGGUGCAAGCGUUAUCCGGAUUCACUGGGUUUAAAGGGUGCGUAGGCGGGUUUUUAAGUCAGCGGUGAAAGCUCCGAGCUCAACUCGGAAAUUGCCGUUGAUACUAUUAAUCUUGAAUUUAGUUGAGGUGGGCGGAAUGUGUAGUGUAGCGGUGAAAUGCUUAGAUAUUAAACAGAACACCUAUUGCGAAGGCAGCUCGCUAAACUAAUAUUGACGCGGAGGCACGAAAGCGUGGGGAUCAAACAGGAUUAGAAACCCUGGUAGUCCACGCCCGAAACGAUGAUUACUCGAUCUGUGCGAUACACUGUACGGGUCUAUGCGAAAGCAUUAAGUAAUCCACCUGGGAAGUACGACCGCAAGGUUGAAACUCAAAUGAAUUGACGGGG